AUGAUAUCUGCCCCGAUCGGAGCGGAGGGCUGCAUCUCGGGGCCAAAUACCCGCGCAGGCUCUGCGCACAGCCAUGGACGCGCACACUGCGAGCACCGCACCCCCCUCGGCUGCCAGAUCGAUGCCUCCCCGGCCCCCCCGGCUGCCGGCACAGCCGCGGCUCCAGCCCCAGCCCCAGCCCCAGCCCCCCCUCGUUACCGCUCGCCCCGGCGGCGCUCCCGCGGCUCCCCGGCCGGCCCCGCACCGCACUUAGCGCCCAACUCCGGGCUCCAGCCCGGCCGCCCGGGCACGGCAGCGGGGGCCGCGCCUUCUCUCCCCUUCUCCUCCCCCCUCCCCAGCCCGGGGGGCCGGCCCCGCUUCGCCCCCCGCCCUCCGCCGGGCCCCGGCCGCUCCCCACCUCCGGCCGCCGCUUGGGGCUCCCGGGGCCGCCCCGGCCGCGGCCCCGCGGGGCUCCGGGCUCGCCCCCCGCUGAUUGAUGGCUGCGGGCGGCCAAUGGCUCCGGCGCGGCCCCGUCCCGGCGUGUGCCGCAGCCCCCGCCCCGCGCCCCCAGCCCGGCUCUGCCCUGCCCUGCCCUGCCCCCGCCUCGCCAUCCCCGCGGCUCCGCUCCGCGCCGGCUCCUGCGAGCAAAGUUUGCAGCGCAGCCCCGCUGUGUGUGUGUGUGUGUGUGUGUGUGUGUGUGUGUGUGUGUGCGUGCCUCCCCCCCCUCCGUACAGCCGGGCUGCACCGCCUGGGGAGGGGGACGGGGACACCGGGGGGGGGCCGGCUGCCGGCUGCCGGCUGGGCUCGGCCUGGCCUCCCCUCGCCUCCCCUCCCCUCCGUGCCCCCGGCCCCGCCGCCAGGCCGCUGCCCGCCCCGGUUGCGGAGGGCAGCGGGGGCACGGCCCGGGCAGGGCAGGGCAGGGCAGGGCAGGGCCGGUUCAGCGCCGCCGCGCACCCCCGGCUCGCCCCGACCCGACCCGACCCGGCUCGGGGGCGGUCACGCCGGGCUCGCCCCGGUCAUUGUGUGCAGGAGGCUGCAGCCGCCCCCCCGCAGCCGCCGGUGGCACGGCCCCGCCGCUUUGUAACCCGCCGCUUUGUAACCCGCCGCUUUGUGCCUCCGAGCCCCCCCACACACUCACCUUUUCCCUGCGGGCCGGGGCCGCCUCAGCGCGGGCGGCGGGGCCGCUCCAUGGGGCGGCGGGGGCAGAGCCGGGGGCAGAGCCCUUGGCGCUGCCCGAGGCCGGGGCUGAGGCCGGGAGCGGGGCCGGGCGCGGUGCAGUGA
rnacentral:lncRNA from 1 species